UCCUACGGGAGGCAGCAGUGGGGAAUAUUGGACAAUGGGCCACAAGCCUGAUCCAGCAAUUCUGUGUGCACGAUGAAGGUCUUCGGAUUGUAAAGUGCUUUCAGUUGGGAAGAAGAAAGUGACGGUACCAACAGAAGAAGCGACGGCUAAAUACGUGCCAGCAGCCGCGGUAAUA
rnacentral:rRNA from 1 species